AGUGAAGCGGCAACAGCUCAAAUUUGAAAUCUGGCGUCUUUGGCGUCCGAGUUGUAAUUUGCAGAGGGCGCUUUGGCAUUGGCAGCGGUCCAAGUUCCUUGGAACAGGACGUCACAGAGGGUGAGAAUCCCGUACGUGGUCGCUAGCCUUUACCGUGUAAAGCCCCUUCGACGAGUCGAGUUGUUUGGGAAUGCAGCUCUAAAUGGGAGGUAAAUUUCUUCUAAAGCUAAAUACUGGCCAGAGACCGAUAGCGCACAAGUAGAGUGAUCGAAAGAUGAAAAGCACUUUGGAAAGAGAGUUAAAAAGCACGUGAAAUUGUUGAAAGGGAAGCGCUUGCAGCCAGACUUGCCUGUAGUUGCUCAUCCGGGUUUCUACCCGGUGCACUCUUCUAUAGGCAGGCCAGCAUCAGUUUGGGCGGUUGGAUAAAGGUCUCUGUCAUGUACCUCCUCUCGGGGAGAACUUAUAGGGGAGACGACAUGCAACCAGCCCGGACUGAGGUCCGCGCAUCUGCUAGGAUGCUGGCGUAAUGGCUGUAAGCGGCCCGUCUUGAAACACGGACCAAGGAGUCUAACAUCUAUGCGAGUGUUUGGGUGUCAAGCCCGAGCGCGUAAUGAAAGUGAACGGAGGUGGGAACCUUUCGGGGUGCACCAUCGACCGAUCCUGAUGUCUUCGGAUGGAUUUGAGUAAGAGCAUAGCUGUUGGGACCCGAAAGAUGGUGAACUAUGCUUGAAUAGGGUGAAGCCAGAGGAAACUCUGGUGGAGGCUCGCAGCGGUUCUGACGUGCAAAUCGAUCGUCAAA
rnacentral:rRNA from 1 species